UACGGAGGGUGCAAGCGUUAUCCGAGUUCACUGGGUUUAAAGGGUGCGUAGGUGGGUUGGUAAGUCAGUGGUGAAAUCUCCGAGCUUAACUUGGAAACUGCCAUUGAUACUAUCAAUCUUGAAUAUUGUGGAGGUCAGCGGAAGUAUGUCAUGUAGCGGUGAAAUGCUUAGAGAUGACAUAGAACACCAAUUGCGAAGGCAGCUGGCUACACAAUAU
rnacentral:rRNA from 1 species